rnacentral:lncRNA from 1 species
CACAGAAGGGCAACCGAGACAGAGCCGUGGAGGGUGUGGCCGGUGUGGGCACCAGCCACAGGGGCCAAGGUUCCUUGAAAAUGAAAACACAGUGCCUCACAAUCUGCAUGUCACUUUCUUCUUCAUACAGUCCUGCAACCUGGACCUUCCUCCAUUCAUCAGGCCUGCACUGAGCAUGUGGAUACGAGGCCUCACGCCAGAGGAAGGAAAUCCAGCCCCGGAGCGAUGCAGCUAAUGAAGGGGCCUGUGAGGACAGAAGAAGAAGGGGCAGACAGACCACUGUCAAGGGCAAUAAAAGAGUCUGCUCUGUUGGACACCCUGGUGAACACGGGACGAAAGCACGUCCAAAGUCUGGCUCUGAUGACCUGGAGCUCCAGGAAGAAAUGGGGAUCUGAGGCCACGGAAGGGUCGGUCCUCCUCUCCCCUACCUGCUGAGAACCGUCCUCCCGCCGCCGCAGCCACCACCUGGCCUGGAUUUGCUCCGUUGGCUCCAAUUUAAACCAUCCCACUCUGUUUCUUUGCAUUGGGAGGUGGUACACGGUCAAGGUUAAGAGUAAGGAUUCU